GCGGAUGUGGCGGAACUGGCAGACGCGCCAGACUUAGGAUCUGGUGGGAGACCGUGCAGGUUCGAUUCCUGUCAUCCGCA
rfam:Lachnospiraceae bacterium 3-1 genomic scaffold acPFp-supercont1.6, whole genome shotgun sequence.